rnacentral:lncRNA from 1 species
UGCUGGAGAUGAAUUGAGUUUUAGUUAAUUUCGUGGUGAUAGUUUGGAUGAAUUCGUAAUGGAGAGCUCAAUGAAAGGAUAUAUGGUUGGGCUUCUCUAUUUUACCACUCAAGAGGUAAUUAGAAGGAUGAGGACUGUUGGUUGUGCUUUUGGGCACUGUUGCAGCGUGAGGACACGAGAGAGACCAUCCGUUUGACGAGCAGGGUAUUGG